rnacentral:rRNA from 1 species
UACGUAGGGAGCAAGCGUUAUCCGGAUUUACUGGGUGUAAAGGGAGCGUAGGCGGGAAUGCAAGUCAGAUGUGAAAUCUGAGGGCUCAACCCUCAAACUGCAUUUGAAACUGCGUUUCUUGAGUGGUGGAGAGGCAAGUGGAAUUCCUAGUGUAGCGGUGAAAUGCGUAGAUAUUAGGAGGAACACCAGUGGCGAAGGCGACUUGCUGGACACUAACUGACGCUGAGGCUCGAAAGCGUGGGGAGCAAACAGG